CCCUCCUCUCUGGCCCGCUACGUGCUCUCAGCUGGCCUGUACCGCAAGCCUCCCCCUGCUUCCCCAGCUGGCCUUCCCGAGUAUAGGCGCCUUGAGGCAAGGCCCUCUAGACUGAAGAAUCUAGUAGGUCAUCACUAUGGCCAGUUCCCAGCUACAUCCAGCCAACACCCGGCUCAGUGAAAAUGUACCCAUUACUCCAUGAAAGAGUGUGUGUCUGCCUGUGGAUACCUGCACAGGAAUCUGGGUGCUCGUGGAGGACAGAGCCAUUGGAUCCCUUGGAGCUGGAGUUACAGAAGCUGACGGAGCCUCUUUUAUAAGGAAAUCGUUUAAUUAACUCUCUUCAGUGCAAUCUUGAGACCUGUAGCUUCCUCACCAUUUCCCCCAAGGCUGGUAUAUAUGCUCAUUUGAAUUCCUUAGGUCUCAGUCUCCCACUACUCUACAUCAGCUGAAGUAAAGCUGCCUCAUCAGGUAGACCAUGCUGACUGCCUGCAACAUGCAACCUGAGGAGUCUUUAUGGUGUGCCAAGAACCACCUGGAGCCAUCACGUUUGAUAUUUCGCAUUCUCACAAGUGAAAACAGAUUCAGGAAAGCAGGCUUGUAGGGUUUCAGGAUCCAGUCUGAAAUUAUAUCUCUGUUGUGUAACAGUUUCCUCAAGAUUGAAACAUUCCAUCCUUCAGGGAAACUCCUUAAACCAGAAGGUAAACAAUUCAAAAUAGCCCCAGGAAGUCCCUGAAACUGACCAGAUUCACUAGGCCCUGCCCUGCCAGAUUAAACAAUGAAGUAGAGAGCCUCUCCGAGACUCACUGAGCUGCAGAGGAGGCUGAGACCAGACAGACUGACUGGAAGAAGCAGAAACCCCCUGAGCUAUUUGGAAGAGGCUUUGUCUUAAAAAAAGCACAUUCUUCACUCUGUUUGAGCUGCCUGCAGGCCGUACAGUGUGUUCCUGGUCCCCAGCUUUGUGAGCUGUCAAUCAUGCUGGGGUGGGCUUUGUUGAUGCAACUGUCUGUGAGUCAUUUCUGCUCCUAACCCACACUCCUGUAAGUAACCCCA